CCCUUUCUAGGUGGCAGCGCGAAUACACGUUAACUCGGUAUAAACUAGGCCUGAGAUGUUAGCCCAUCUGCACUGUACAGUGGCGCUUGCGGAACGUUAACUACGGGUCUUGUAUCAGUUCCAGACAAGGUAAAAGAAGCACUUCCCAAGCCUGCUGAGGGACCCCUGCACGAUCUACAACCAGGGGAUUGGAUAGUGGUGAAGGACUUCAGACGAACCAAGUGGAACAAGCCAUGGUGGAAUGACCCAUUCCAGGUCCUGUUCACAACCCCAACGGCAGUGAAGGUCAUAGGCAGAGUGACGUGGAUCCACGCUAGCCACUGCAGGAGGGUUCCUGAACCGGCUGAGCAGGAGGAAAAGGAAGGCCUAAGUGCCCCGGACGCUGACUAAAGCGUGUGAGGAAGAAAGGCAUCACUGCAUGGAACAGUAGGCAGCUGACAAAUAUUGGUUACCAGAUGGUGAAAAUAGACCCAGACGACUUGCCUGACUGGCCUCCAAACCCACAUGAAGACUAUAACCCACCGUUUGACAUCAGCACAGCUGAUAUGAAAUUAGCCCUAGCUUAAAACACUCUCAUUUGUGGUUGUUUUUCUGUUCUAUUGUUUCCUGAUCUAUGUAUAUAGCUUGCUAGUAGGGGUGGCACGGUACGCAAAAGUGACGGUCCGGUACGUACCUCGGUCCAGACCCCACGGGUACGGUACAUUUUCGGUACGGUGCAGGGGGAAAAAAAAAACAACCAAAAAGGUUGUCUUUAAGGGUAUUUAUUGUUCAAAAAUAGGUAGCUGAAAUAUUCUGAAUCAAAAUGAAAAAUGGAACAAUGAAGGCAAGGCCACAGAUCACAACAUAAUACUGAGGUACAAUGUUUUAACAGUAAUAAACUUCAAUCCAUUUUUGCAAUUAUAAACUACAGUAUGUACCUCUUAAUGUAUUACACCUUCAUUCAAUUUUUAAGUUUUUCUUCAAAAAAACUAGUUUGUCCACACUAUCAGUGCUGAGUGUAGAUCUAGUGGCAGUAACUAUGUCACCUGCUGUUGAAAACACCCUUUCACUGGGCACUGAUGUAGCAGGUAUGGCCAAGUAACUUUUUGCCAAUAUGGCUAAAUUAGGAUACAGAGAUUCGUGACAUUUCCACCAGGAAAGCGGGUCAGAGUCAACUGAGGCACAUUCUUUUGCCAUGUAAGCACUGACUUCUUCCUUUAACUUCUGAUUCAAAGUAGGCUGGCUCCUCUGAUCAGCCCUGAAGAGGGAGCCAAAAAUUUCUGCCAUCGCUGACCUCUUGGAAGGAGGUGGGGAGGAGGAUACCUCUGACUCCUCUGCCUUCACUGGCAAAGGAGUGGCCUGUGAAGUUGAUGGUCUGUCCUCCUGUGUGGACAGAGACAGAUCAUUCUGCAAUGUGAAAAGGGGGAAAACAAUAAAUUGAGCAUUAUGGUGUAACAGUAGAUUAGUCACUUAAGAAAUAACAUUUUAUAUAUUAUUAUUAUUAUUAUUAUUAUUAUUAUUAUUAUUAUUUUCUUAAAUGCAUACCUGUUGUGCUCUUCCCAGCACUUCUCUGAUAAUAUCGUCAUGGACUUUCCUGUGGCACGCUGGAUCUAGGUGAUUCAGUGUUUUGAACCUGGGGUCCAGUAAUGUACAUUUAUUUAGGAAAUCCCUGAGGUCUGGGUCCUCGUAUCUGCCUUUGAAGUUUUCUCUAAUUGCAUUUUUCAUCUCCAGCAUCAGAUGUAUUUUCUUGUGUGGCAUUCAGGAUUGUAGUUUGCAGAGGCAGGAUCAUGGAAAUAGAUGGUGCUGUUUCUGUACUAAUAACUGCCGUGAUCAUCUUCAGAGGCUUCAUAACAUCGACUAUGUUCUCUGCAUAGGACAGCUCCUGAUCUGACAGGUUAGCGAUGCCCUUGGUCUUGAUUUUCUUCUCUGUCAAGGCUGAGUAGAUAGCAGCUUGUUGCUCUAGGUAUCUCUCGACCAUUUUGUAGCUGGAGUUCCAGCGCGUGGCAACAAUAAUGAUGAGACUGUGGUGCGGCAAAUCAAGCAUGUCCUGUUUCAUUUCCAGAAUGUAGGUAGCCGUCGUGCUGCAGUGAAAGUAUGACACUGUUGAUCUCAUUUUUGCAAGUACAUUCGAUACCUGCUUGACAUCGAGUGCUUUCUUAGCGGCCAAGUUAAGGGUAUGGGCAAAGCACGCUAUGUGCGGACCGAGCCCCGCCUCACCAAUUGCAUUGACAAUGUUUCUUGCAUUGUCGGUGGUGACUGCUAUAUUCAUCCCAGGCCUUUCGAGUUUCCACUCUGACACAACUUCAUUUAGCUUAUCAGCUAGGUGGCUACUUGUGUGCUGCUCGUAGAAGGGGCACAUUUGUAGGACUACCGUUCUCAUCUCCCACGAAGAGCUGAUAAAACGCGCCGUUACUGUGAGAAAGCUUUCGGUAGCUCGAGACGUCCACGAAUCAGUUGUGAGAGCAAUAGAAGGAGCCGCUGACAACUCCAAUUCCACUACGUGCCUUGUUCUUUUGUAAAUGUCUGGUACUACCGUUUGUUUAAUAUGGCUGCGGGAUGGCACCGUGAAACGUGGUUCUAGCACAUGGAACAAAUAUUUGAAGCCUUCCUCUUCUACAGUGGAGUAUGGGUGCAUUGCGGAUGCAAUAUAAAUCCCAAUUGCGUCGGUAAUUUUUUUCACUCUAGUAGAGUUUGUGUCUAGUGGUUGGUGAAACACGGUGGGGAGAAGUGACUGAACACUUUUUUUUUUCGGUCUUGUUCCAGUUAUGGGGAUGCCUGGGUGAUGUCGUCGGAUGUGCUUUAGCAUGUUCAAAGUGUUCCCAUUCGCAUAACCAACCACUGUCGAACAACGCCGACAGACAGUCUUCGUUUUGUCUACUUCUCGCUCACCUUUAUUGUAAGUCACGGGGAACCCGAAAUUAUCCCACACCGUUGAUUUAAACGAUGCAGGCGGGUCUUCUAACUCCGGUGUGCUGUCACUCGCCAUUCUUGCAUUCGUACAUACUUCUCUUCAAACUUGCAGCCGCAAAGAAAAAUAAGGAGCCAUACCAAGCAGCGGUUAUAUUUUGAAGGCGUUUGGGCAGGGUUGGAAAAGCUAGACCAACCAAGAGUUUCCAGGUGCAAAUGGUUAAUAUGCCCUGAAUGAAUCCUCACGCGACACAGCAGUUCUGCAUUUAGUUCUUAUUAAAAAAAAAAAAGAGUACCGUGUAUUCUCCGUGACAAUGCAUGUACCGGACCGUGACCCCCGUACCGUGACGGUCCAAUACGAGUACAAAUACCGUGCCACCCCUACUUGCUAGUAUUAACUUAAGAUGUCUGUCUUACAAAACAGCCUUAGCAUUAUCCCUGUACACUCAAUGACGUGUUAAGUCGAAUCUCUCCGGGAACUCUUACCACUGAAAUUGUGUACGUUUCUUUCUUUUAGCAAUUAUUAUCCUGUAGGAUAAAAAGGGGGGAAAUGUGAAGGAAAUUUAGUGAAUGAACAUUACUAUUCUCUGUGUUUGUGUGUUGAGCUCAAGUGGCCUAGUGUACUGAGAAAAGUUGUUUUCCCCACAUGCUGUAAUCGCCUUUCUGUGCCCUUGGCUGGUGAUAAGCAGGGUGUCUGAGUUCUCCCCAACCACACAUACGCUUGCAUAUCCCAGAGCACGCCAGGUGCACGCUUUAACAAAGCUUCAUAGAAAGUCUUGAGCCAAUCACGUGAAGACGUGAGCAGUAAGCGAAUGUCUUUAGAGUAUAAUAGAUAACAGCCACUAAAACACAACUCCGAGUGCGUACUCUCGGCAUUACUGAAGUGGUGUCUUGUCUUCUUUUUUCCUUUCCUGUUUUAU